AGAAAAGUAAGCUAAGUAAAAGCUAAUGGGUUCAUACCCCAUAAAUAGAGUGAACAUUCUCUUUUCUA
rnacentral:tRNA from 1 species